UACAGAGGGGACAAGCGUUGUUCGGAAUUACUGGGCGUAAAGGGCGCGUAGGCGGCCCUCUAAGUCAGACGUGAAAUCCCUCGGCUCAACCGGGGAACUGCGUCUGAGACUGGGGGGCUUGAAUCCGGGAGAGGGAUGUGGAAUUCCAGGUGUAGCGGUGAAAUGCGUAGAUAUCUGGAGGAACACCGGUGGCGAAGGCAGCCUUCUGGGCCAACACUGACGCUCAUGCACGAAAGCGUGGGGAGCAAACAGG
rnacentral:rRNA from 1 species